rnacentral:rRNA from 1 species
UACGUAGGGUGCGAGCGUUGUCCGGAAUUAUUGGGCGUAAAGGGCUCGUAGGCGGUCUGUCACGUCGGGAGUGAAAACACGGGGCUUAACCCCGUGCCUGCUUCCGAUACGGGCAGACUAGAGGUAUGCAGGGGAGAACGGAAUUCCUGGUGUAGCGGUGAAAUGCGCAGAUAUCAGGAGGAACACCGGGGGCGAAGGCGGUUCUGGGCAUUACCUGACGCUGAGGAGCGAAAGUGUGGGGAGCGAACAGG